AGUGAACGCUGGCGGUAGGCCUAACACAUGCAAGUCGAACGGCAGCACAGUAAGAGCUUGCUCUUACGGGUGGCGAGUGGCGGACGGGUGAGGAAUACAUCGGAAUCUACUUUUUCGUGGGGGAUAACGUAGGGAAACUUACGCUAAUACCGCAUACGACCUACGGGUGAAAGCAGGGGAUCUUCGGACCUUGCGCGAUUGAAUGAGCCGAUGUCGGAUUAGCUAGUUGGCGGGGUAAAGGCCCACCAAGGCGACGAUCCGUAGCUGGUCUGAGAGGAUGAUCAGCCACGCUGGAACUGAGACACGGUCCAGACUCCUACGGGAGGCAGCAGUGGGGAAUAUUGGACAAUGGGCGCAAGCCAGAUCCAGCCAUACCGCGUGGGUGAAGAAGGCCUUCGGGUUGUAAAGCCCUUUUGUUGGGAAAGAAAAGCAGCAGGUUAAUACCCCGCUGUUCUGACGGUACCCAAAGAAUAGGCACCGGCUAACUUCGUG
rnacentral:rRNA from 1 species